UGCGCUGUCGCGGGGGGGCCGCUGCUGCAUCCCGCUGCCUGCGGCGGCACAAACGCGCUCCCAGCACGCCUACGGCCAGUUAACACAAUGGAAACGCAGCCUUUUCUGCAGGGCUUGACCUGAAAGGAAGCUGGGCUUGGGAACUCAUGCAGCUUCCAGCCAUGUGCAUGAAUGGUGGCUAGUAGCAGUUUAAAAAGAUCUGAAAGAAACUCUGACAACUCUGCAGCAACCACUGGUUAUCCUACAGAGAGCAACCAGACUCUGAAUAUUGUCCUUCGAGUUUCCCAGGAAGUUUGCUUGGGCUGAAAAGAUCAAAUCAUUCAUCACAUUAUGGCCCAUCUGCACUCUGUUCAUGGGGACUAUUGCCUGGUGCUACUUAAGGCCUAGUGCUUUUGAAUAUUUUCUCCAGUAUUUUGUUAUAAAUUUACCCCUGGAGCUACAGUGAGAAACAAC